UACAGAGGGUGCGAGCGUUAAUCGGAAUUACUGGGCGUAAAGCGCACGUAGUCGGCCUUCUAAGUCGAACGUGAAAUCCCCGGGCUCAACCCGGGAACUGCGUCCGAUACUGGAAGGCUUGAAUCCGGGAGAGGGAUGCGGAAUUCCAGGUGUAGCGGUGAAAUGCGUAGAUAUCUGGAGGAACACCGGUGGCGAAGGCGGCAUCCUGGACCGGCAUUGACGCUGAGGCGCGAAAAGCCAGGGGAGCAAACGGG
rnacentral:rRNA from 1 species